UAACCUGCCCNCUGAAAUUGCUUAAAGGGCCGCGGUAUUUUAACCGUGCAAAGGUAGCAUAAUAAUUAGUCCUUUAAUUGGGGGCUUGAAUGAAUGGUUGAACAAAUAAAUGAUUGUCUCUUUUUUAAAUUUUGAAUUUAACUUUUGAGUGAGAAGGCUUAAAUAUUUCAAGGGGACGAUAAGACCCUAUAAAUCUUUAUAUAAAUAUUUAUUUUUUAUUGAUAAGUNUGUUUAAUAAUUUAGAAUAGGUAAUAUAUUAUGUUGGGGCGACAAGAGCAUAAAUGAUGUAACUGCUUACAGUUGAAUACUUAUAAUAUUUGUUUUUAUUAAUGAUCCUCNUUAGAGAUUCAAAGAUUAAGUUACUUUAGGGAUAACAGCGUUAUUUUUUUUAAGAGUUCUUAUCGAAAAAAAAGUUUGCGACCUCGAUGUUGAAUUAAAAUNUUCUUUAUNGGUGUAGCCGUUAUAAU
rnacentral:rRNA from 1 species